rnacentral:lncRNA from 1 species
UCUUUUUUUUUUUUUUUUGAAGCAAACAAAAGCCAAAGUCAUUCAGCCCCGAUUUCGAUAGCAGCCAGACAACAAUUGACCAAUGUCGAAUAAAGUAAAGAAAACAGUGUAUCAAAGAUACAAAUCGCAAUCAAAUUUAGAGAUGUAUCCUAAGGCUUAUUGAAAGAUGCCUACCAUUUUGGAUGUAGCUCAGUUGUUCCUCCAGCAGAGCUGACAGAGGAAAUUCAGUCACUACUUUCCUUUGUCCUGUUGGUUUGUUUCCAUGACGAAUGAAUAAAAAAAAAAAUGUUAAAUUUAAUUUCAAAGAAAAAUGAGAAUAAGAAGAUAAUAAAUUUGAUUCGUGAAAUCGAAACAAUUUGGCAACUUUCACGAUGGCCGAAAAACCUCUUAAUUGAUUAUGGAGAACUGACACGUGAAAUAUAACUUGGCGCCCUUUUUUUAAUCACUUCCCUGUACCGAAAUGUGCUGCGUACCAAUCCCUCGAGGCUGUUCGCAUGAAAAAGUGACUUCAUCAUUAAUGUCUUGAGAUGCCCCGAAACCUUUCGUCCGACUUGAUGAUGAUGUAAAAGUUACUACGAAUGCUACGAUGCACAGCAACAGCGUCUGAUCACUCUAUAAUUUAUCUCGUUUUCAAUCACGUGAAAAUCUCAUCAUCAUCAAGCUGCAAGCAGAUCACAUCAGCCGCCUUGUGAAUACAAGAGGGUUGGGCCCACGAAUGCCCAUUCAUCAUCUGGUGGUACACAGGCUACCCAAAAAGACACUGCAGCAUCCCGAACAAUAACCGUGUUUCGGUCCAUCGUUGAUUACCACGACCAGGUCACCCGGACGCGUGUCACUGUCGUUGACGGAAAUGAUGUCGGGCGAAAGAAUUUCGGUGGCUCCUUCAUCGACAGUCACUUCACUGUGAACCACGACUUCCGGCGAUUGAUUGUCUCUCGGUUCAAUAGCGAUCAUAAGUGAUUCGGGUCGAAGAGGAACCCUGGGAAGCGGAGCUAAUCUACCGGCUCCAUUUUCAUCUCUGGCCCGUUUGAUAGUGUCUUCCGUCCGCCGGAGAACUUUUCCACUCGAAUCCAACACUCUACCGUUCACUAGAACAUUGCGACCUCUGCCGUUUUUCUCGUCAAUGUCGUCCCGUUUGACAGCCGAAACGUUCCAGGAGAGGCGAUCCUGAGCAGCUUAAACAGGAAAAUCAAAUGAUUCACGCGUUAUUACAUCUCGGGUGAUGGUGUCGCCAAUUUGGAGGACUUUGCCGGACAGCAGAAUGGAACCCAUUUGAGUUGGGCGGGCCAGAAUGUACUCGACCGUCUCCUUUUCGACAGCCGAAUCGAGGACGACAAAAUAACGUUCAGAUAUUGUUACCGCAUCACCUUUUUUUUUUUAAAUAAUUUAAAACCAAAUUUACUUAAAAAAGAACAAAAAGCAAUGAAAAAAAAAAAAAAACCUUCUCGGACAGACGGUAUCGACAUGAGUGGCCCAUCUUGCUGGAAUUGGACCUCCUGCUGACUGCAUUUUGGCCGGCCUUUAUCUACAAAAUCUGCCAAAAGGACGACAGCGUCGGCAUUCCAGCUUUCCAUUGCUGGGCCAGACAGCAGUGCAGAUGCAGCCUUCUGGACAACUGCUGGAAUCUAUUAUACUUUUGCAGGGCAGGUUUGAAAACCGGAAGAGGAAACGUGGGCCUUCCGUGACGGAUUCUUUUGCCUAUGUAAACACUACCCAUGCCCACGGCCUGUUCCUGACGUCAUAACCGGAAGCGAGUUGAAAAGGCGCAUAGACCAAGAAGUUUCGCACACAAAAAACAACAAAAAAACUACAAAAUGGGCACGCGACUCGGCGGAAGAAAGAAAGAAAAAAGAGUUUUCGUCACUGGUGAUGUUCGCAGACGAGCAAACGACGAAAGUACUCAUUGAUAAUGGGGGAGGGCCACCCGCUCUGGAUGGUGCAUGUGGCAAACGGUUGGUUGCCUUCGACUGUCUGGCCGGGCUCGUAGGAGGUGCAUCGUUGUCGUUAAAUGGUUUGAAAACCCUUGGCUAAGCUGGGCAGAUUCUCCAAACUGCAUGCCGUUACGGGCUCAUACCAUCGAGACGUGACACCGCAGGCUGCCGCCCUCAGCAAUCAAAAGUUCUACGCAGUUCUUCUAACGUUCAGUGCACGAUCGUCGGCAUCGUGAAGAGAAAGAAUCAGAUGACAAACGGUUAAAAACACACAUUCAGUAAGGUAAGAUAAGUAAUUUUCAUUUAUACCAUUGGCGGGUCGUGGGAAGACAAAGGUUUUAUAUUUUGCCAUCUUGCUGGGUGGCACCGUCGACCAUCCUAGUUCCUCCUUUCAACAAGAGCCGGACGGCCUCUAAACUGAUGGACCUUUCGGUAGCCUCCACGUAGCGUUACACCGUCCCUUCCAUUGUUUGCGGGUUCUUGAUGAUUUGCAAUGAUUUAUCUUUAAAUUUUUAAAUUUUACUUUUUCACUGAGCCAAAAGAGCGUUUUGACUUUUGCCAGGCCAUCGGCAAAAGUAAUGGAUUUAACGACGCUGGGCAUCAUCAAAACGGUCGACUAAUUCAGGGUAGAUGGACGAGACAUGGCCGUCGAUCCGCCCAGACUGUGUACGAGAAUGGAGACCUUGUCUAACUUGAAAUGGUCCACGGCUCGUUUGAAGUCGAUGAUCAAUUCCCAAAAUGUGAUGAUGGCUCCCGCGGGAAUAUGAUAGGUGCGGCCGUGACUCAAGGCGUCCAUGGCAAUGCAGCACAAUCUGUCGGACAGUAGGAGCGGGGCCAACGGGGCGAACGAAUUGCUAUUGUCGCCGAUACCCGUGAAGGCACAAGAUCGGGAUAUCCAUCAUGGACGUUGCCUCAUUCUUUGACUUGUUGGUCCCGAGCCAGUCGAUGUCACACACACGACAGACAUUUUAGCGUGAAUAAUUGUUGUGUGGUAUUUCGAUUUUUGGUUUCUCCUGCGCAGUCCAUCGUACCUGCCUUGUUGCCAUAUGGUAUUGGAAUUUGAAAUUCGCGGGCGUUGUCUGUCUUGACGAUGACGUGAUUCUCUCUUUUAGGGUUGCAGCAAUAAAUUCCGACUCGUUUCGAUUGGAACAUCAAAGCACGACACGCUGUGACACAUGAAAUAUUGAUGCACGAGACUUGCAUUUUUCGACGACCUCUGCUGAUUGACGGCGAUUCGCUGAUGCCGCAACACUAGGGGAAUGCGCAUUCCCCUGGCCUAUACGUUUCACAUUUAUGUGUGUUAUCUUCUCCUUUUUUAAAAUCUGAAAUCGCUCUCGUGCGUGAUGAUUAGUGACGUCAUCGUGAGGCCGUUCUAAAGCCGCAAAGGUCUUGAAGAGCUCGUGCCCUUGGAUGAUUCAUUUCCGACGAUAAAACAAGCCCCAAUCCAAAUUUAUCGUCAAAGAAAACGCAGCACACACGUUAGCUCGGGAACUCGAAAAAGCGGUCGUAAAAUGAUCAUCGCCCGAAUAAGGCCAUCAGCACAAAGUAGAAAUACGUUGCCUACACUUUCUUUACACACACGCGUACAAACUUUAUGAAUGAAGCGAACAAUGACUGGGUGGGUGGCAUCCCCCCCCCUCCCCAUCUUUAAGGAAUGGCAUUGCGAAAUCAAACGAUAGUAUAUUUAUUUAUGUGUUUCUACAUUUGCAUUGAAAUUUGCAGGCAGGAAAAACUUGAGAGCCACCGUGACGUGUUUUACAAACGGGCAAAGUAUUCGUUGACGAUGGGCGCUACUCGUUCUGGAUUAUGCAUGUGAAAGUGGUGGGUGCCGUCAACUGAUUCGUCAUAUUCGUAGGAUGCGCAUUGUCGUUGGUAAAUGGUUUUGAAUUCUUCGAGCCAUUCAAUUGGCUCGUAAAGCGGCCCCUGUUUGGCUUUGACGAUUUUUAGAUGGCAUUUCAAACCUUUGAUUAUUUCACGUUGUUCCUCUAUUCCGACGCGCAUUAUUAACGGCAACAUCUUUUGAAAAAUGGAUGGAAAACUUGGCGUUCUUUUGAAUGAUAGAAAGUAAAAUUACCAUUCUGGGAUCGUGAGAAUAGGUAAAUCCGUUGCCAGUCGCUUUGGAACCUCUCUUCAUUAAAAUACGGACAGCUUCUGGGCUUAUUGUUCCACCCAUAGCUUCUACAUAGCGGUUGACCAAUUGCUCCUGAGUGUAGCUCUUUUGGUAUUUCAGAUCUUUUAACCUUUUUUCAUUGCUAAGAAACAGGUCUAUGGCUUCAGCUUUGCUCUGAGUCUGCCACUGUAGAGGGACACACACAGGUUUUAUCACGUCUAAUGUGAGCAGACGGUCAACAAUGUCUGGAUAGAGAGAGGCAACAAGAAAUCCUGUUGAGCCUCCCAUGCUGUGACCAAGGAUGGACAUUUUUCUAAUGUUGAAGUGGUCAAUCACUCGCUUAAUGUAACACACAAGUUCCCAGUAAUUCAUUGGUGAUCCUUGUGGGACAUGAGAAGUUUUGCCAUGGCCAGGUGCAUCCAGGGCUAUGUAUCGAAAUCUUUCAGACAGUAAAGGAG